CUUGAUGAAUGUCAAGGAGCUGGGCUCAAAAGGCUUCAAGAACCUGUCAAGGCAGGAACUAACUGGAACUGUGCCCAAGUGCUUACGUGACACCUCAGGGUUGGUGGACAAUAGAAAAGAGGAUCUUGACAGAAAGACUGGCAACCCAGUUUCUGCCUGACAUGGGAGGUGUUAAAGGAGAACAGCAAACUGAUGGCAUAGAUAAACUCAUAUACAAGAAUUUCCUGAGGCCAGCAGUAAAGAUCAACCCCAGUUCCCAUGAUUUCGAUGCAAAGAUCAGACUUUCCAGACCACAUGCCAAGAUUCACCAUCAGGAAUACCUGGGUUUCCACUUUCUCCUGCUACAUUAAAGUGUCCACUCGGUGAAAUGAGAACAGCUGGUGGGAGUUAAUCCAUGAGCAGUCAGCCACUUCUUACAUGAUUGAUAACAGCAACUUGGGAAACAAAUUUCCCGUCUUUGAAAUUCCCAUCCCUUCAGGCUGGAGAGCUGGCUCCGGGGAGAGUGGGAGAGCUGUCCCUACCCCCUGCCCCCACUGGCUGCAAAUUAUGGGAGAGUGGACCCUGCACUUCGCCUGGACCGUACACUAGAGCCGAACCUGUUGGCAGGGGUGACGGGGAGCCAGCCCUGAGAGCAUGAGAUCAGGAGAAAUGACCCUGCCUCAUGUGGUGGCAUGGGUGAAGGAAAGAUGCCCCUUCCCUAACCGUUGCCACCUGCAUCAGGCGGAGAGCUGGCCGUGGGGACACAACUCCACCUCACCAACUGCAGCACUCAGGAGGGCAGGCUCUGCACCUGCUGGGGAAAAACAGUAGAGAAUGGCCCUGGUUGUGUCAAUGCCAGUGAGGCAGCCCCGAGAGUGUGGCAACAGGAGAACUGGCCCUCUUGCUUGUUGUCUGCUGAAGUGAAUGAGGUGACUGGGGCAGUGCUGGAGAGCUCACCCUAGUGGUGAACAUGUGAAGAGGCCGGGCCUGUAGAUUCAAGACUACAGGAUCUCUAUGAAACAAGGCAACAGCAGGAUGUCUCCCAGAGGAGUCCCAGUGAGGGCCUACUAUCAAGGGUGAAGCAGAUGCCAGAGGCCACAAACCAGACCAAUCAAUGACUCGUUGCAAUGCACACUUAAAGGAAAGACAAUGGGCCAGUACCCUGAAAACUAUCAAAGAGGACAUUAUGAGAAGCCCAGGCCUUGAUCAAGAAUUGCUGUCUAAUGAGAAGCAUAAGCUAAGAGAUUCUGGAUAAGUUGCCAAUGAUCAUUCAGUGGGUAUGUGGUUGUAGCUGGACGUUUGGCCCUGAAAAUCCUACCAAGGUGUCUCUGUGACUCCACAUCUGGAGAACAUCCAGGCAAAGGGCUCCUUCUUCCUGCUGCUUCCCUGACUCUCUCCCUGAAGUGUAGAAUUGAUGGUGCUCACCUGGCAUCUACAGUCAAAUGCCAACAAUGGCAACAAAAGGAACAUGUGGCAGAUGUGAAGACUGCAGUUAAACAGACUUUGAAAUGGUUUAAAUAGAGAGCUACAAACAUGUCAAUAAUUAUCUGUCAAGUCCGGUGCAGUGCCUCCUGCAUCUGAGAAGCACUUGGAAGGUGGAAGCAGGAACUAUCAAUAGAUAGUUCUAGGUCAGUCUGGGCUACAUCAGAAAAUAAUAAUAAUAAUAGUAAUAAAACUUUUAAAGACUCAGUUUUAUACUACAGAUAGAUUCAGAUAACAUGGAAAUACAUAAGCUAAUAAUAAACUAAUACAUAUUUUAUAAGGCCAUAGUCCUUUGCACUUAAAUCGGUGCCUUGUAUCAUCC
rnacentral:lncRNA from 1 species